AAUAAGAUCAUUUUUCAGUUUUUUGAUAUAAUGUUUUGACUCUUUGUCCUAUUUAAUUUUUUUGUUAUUAAUAUUUUUAUUCUUACUAGAUGAUAAAACAUAAAUAGUACUUUAUGCGUGACUAAUUUUUUUUAUUUUUUGUACAAUUUUUUUAAAAAAAACGAAUGAUCAAACGUUGGACAUGGAAAAACGG
rnacentral:pre_miRNA from 1 species